GUGUCAGCAGCCGCGGUAAUACGAAGGGGGCUAGCGUUGUUCGGAAUUACUGGGCGUAAAGGGCGCGUAGGCGGCGUAUGAAGUCAGGCGUGAAAGCCCCGGGCUCAACCUGGGAAUUGCGUUUGAUACUCUUAUGCUUGAGUUCGGGAGAGGUGAGUGGAAUUCCCAGUGUAGAGGUGAAAUUCGUAGAUAUUGGGAAGAACACCGGUGGCGAAGGCGGCUCACUGGACCGAUACUGACGCUGAUGCGCGAAAGCGUGGGGAGCAAACAGGAUUAGAUACCCUAGUAGUCC
rnacentral:rRNA from 1 species